AAGCCACGAUCUACCGUCAUCGACGACUUGCCUCCGACAAAUUGAUGUCUCAUUGAUUGUCGUUGUCUUCGCUAUUCGGAGAAGCUCUACUUAAAAGUCCUUCAUUCUUCGCCUAUUGGAAUCUAUAGCAGCAAACCCUAGGGUGGAGUUAUGGAUUUUUUUGGUAGUUCCAGAAUAGAAGUUCACGAGGAGAAUCAAAUGAUUUGCAGAAGUUUAUUGCAAUCCAUGGUCGCCUCCGAUAAUCGUCACUCAAGUUGAUCGCCUUCCUCAUCAUCCCCCUUCUGUCUCCAUUGACCUCCCUUGUUUUCGAUCAUAUAUGUAGAAGGAGAUUAACAAAACGAAACACAUAGGUUCUGAUUUUCCAUAUUAUUAUUUUGUAAUUGAUAUCUAAUUGGAGCAUAUUCGUGUGUAAAUUUUGAAACUGCAUGUGAUGGAUGUUUUGGUUGUCUUUCUAGCUGUAUGUAUACCUUUCUCUCACUUUAGGUGUAUUCAUGCCACUAUGCUCCAAAAACUAAAUAUUUUUCUUGAAAAUUAACUUGUUUAUCAAUGUGUUCAGAAGAAGAAGCAUCCAAAAAUUGAUCCUGAAACAAACGGUACUCCUGAGGUGCAGACUUCAUCAUCAUAUAGUUGGUUUACUUUUUCAUAAUCUACAAAGAAGUUAAUUGAAGACCUAGAAGCUAUUUGGAAGUGGGUAUUGAUUGAGAAACUACAUAUUCCUUAUAGUGAAAGAAACAUGUCUUCUAUUCUUAUUGUAGUUCUUUAAACAUUUGACAACCGAGUUAAGUAUGUUUUCGUUUUUAUUUUGUGUAUGUAUUGAUUUAUGAUUAUGGCCUAAAAAACAUAUGUACAAUGUUUAAGAACACCGUGGGAAAUAAGUCUUAUUUCGGUUUA